CCUACGGGGGGCUGCAGUGGGGAAUAUUGGACAAUGGGCGAAAGCCUGAUCCAGCCAUGCCGCGUGUGUGAAGAAGGCCUUCGGGUUGUAAAGUACUUUCAGUGGGGAAGAAAGCCUUGGGGCUAAUACCCUCGAGGAAGGACAUCACCCACAGAAGAAGCACCGGCUAACUCCGUGCCAGCAGCCGCGGUAAUACGGAGGGUGCGAGCGUUAAUCGGAAUUACUGGGCGUAAAGCGCGCGUAGGCGGUCUGAUAAGCCGGUUGUGAAAGCCCCGGGCUCAACCUGGGAACGGCAUCCGGAACUGUCAGGCUAGAGUGCAGGAGAGGAAGGUAGAAUUCCCGGUGUAGCGGUGAAAUGCGUAGAGAUCGGGAGGAAUACCAGUGGCGAAGGCGGCCUUCUGGACUGACACUGACGCUGAGGUGCGAAAGCGUGGGUAGCAAACAGGAUUAGAUACCCUUGUAGUC
rnacentral:rRNA from 1 species